UAAUACGGAGGAUGCGAGCGUUAUCCGGAUUUAUUGGGUUUAAAGGGUGCGUAGGCGGAACAAUAAGUCAGUGGUGAAAGACUGCAGCUUAACUGUAGACUUGCCGUUGAUACUGUUGAUCUUGAGUAUGGUCAAGGCAGGCGGAAUGUGUAAUGUAGCGGUGAAAUGCUUAGAUAUUACACAGAACACCGAUUGCGAAGGCAGCUUGCUGGGCCAUUACUGACGCUGAUGCACGAAAGCGUGGGGAUCGAACAGG
rnacentral:rRNA from 1 species